rnacentral:rRNA from 1 species
UGGGGAAUCUUCCGCAAUGGACGAAAGUCUGACGGAGCAACGCCGCGUGUAUGAUGAAGGUCUUCGGAUUGUAAAGUACUGUCAUUGGGGAAGAACGGUUUUCUUGAAAAGAUUGAGAAGACAUGACGGUACCCAAGGAGGAAGCCCCGGCUAACUACGUGCCAGCAGCCGCGGUAAUACGUAGGGGGCAAGCGUUGUCCGGAAUUAUUGGGCGUAAAGGGCGCGUAGGCGGGCCUUUAAGUCCGGUGUGAAAGAUCAGGGCUCAACCCUGAGAGUGCAUCGGAAACUGGAGGCCUUGAGGACAGGAGAGGAAAGUGGAAUUCCACGUGUAGCGGUGAAAUGCGUAGAUAUGUGGAGGAACACCAGUGGCGAAGGCGACUUUCUGGACUGUAACUGACGCUGAGGCGCGAAAGCGUGGGGAGCGAACAGGAUUAGAUACCCUGGUAGUCCACGCCGUAAACGAUGAGUGCUAGGUGUAGAGGGUAUCGACCCCUUCUGUGCCGCAGUUAACACAAUAAGCACUCCGCCUGGGGAGUACGGCCGCAAGGUUGAAACUUAAAGGAAUUGAC